rnacentral:rRNA from 1 species
GGACUACAGGGGUUUCUAAUCCUGUUUGCUCCCCACACUCUCGUGCCUCAGCGUCAGAAAUAAACUAGAGAACCGCUUACGCCACAGGUGUUCUUCCAUAUAUCUACGCAUUUCACCGCUACACAUGGAAUUCCGUUCUCUCCGUCUACCCUCGAGAAGGGGAGUUUCAAAUGCAGCUCCAGUAUUGAGUACUGGAAUUUCACAUCUGACUUUCCCAUCCGCCUACGCACCCUUUACGCCCAGUAAAUCCGAUUAAUGCUUGUACCCUCCGUAUUACCGCGGCUGCUGGCAC